CUCCGGUUCUAACAGAAGCCUCCUAACCCUGCAUAGGUUAUGGGCUAGGAUCCCCCACCUGUCACUCAGAAUCAUCUGCUAUAAUGAAUGAGGAGCCCACUGCUAGCCCCACUUCAUCACCUACAACGUAAACCCCAUCUGCUUCAAAACUCUCAUGUAAUCAGAGCUGAUACGGAAUGUGACUGCCAGCAAAGGAUGACUGUUAAUCCUGAGAUUCUCGAGAACAAAAUCAGUUUCACAAUUUUUAGACAAAUUUGAAUAGGUCCUGUCCUUCCUCUAUAGACAAGCAGGAGCUGACCUGGGGAUGACGCUUCUAG